rnacentral:rRNA from 1 species
GAUGAACGCUGGCGGCGUGCUUAACACAUGCAAGUCGAACGGAAAGGCCCAAACUUGCUUGGGUUCUCGAUUGGCGAACGGGUGAGUAACACGUGGGUGAUCUGCCCUGCACUUCGGGAUAAGCCUGGGAAACUGGGUCUAAUACCGGAUAGGACCCCUUCUUGGAUGUUGUGGUGGGAAGUUUUCUCGGUGUGGGAUGAGCUCGCGGCCUAUCAGCUUGUUGGUGGGGUAAUGGCCUACCAAGGCGUCGACGGGUAGCCGGCCUGAGAGGGUGUACGGCCAGAUUGGGACGCGGAGAGGGGCCAGACUCCGGCGGGAGGCAGCAGGGGGGAAUAUUGCACAAUGGGGGCGAGCCUGAGGCAGAGAAGCCGCGGGGGGGAUGAAGGCCUUCGGGUGGUAAACACCUUUCGCUAGGGAAAAAGCGUUUUUGUGACGGUACCUGGAGAAGAAGCACCGGCUAACUACGUG